rnacentral:Y_RNA from 1 species
GGCUGGUGGAAGGCAGUGAGUUCUCGCUACUGAGUAUUCAGUCGGCUCCAGAUGAGACCCUUGUUCCGCUCUCCUCUCUCCUCACUACCACACUUGACUAGUCUGAG